AUUCCAUCUUGUAGAGAAUCUUGGAUAACUGAUUUGUGGUUUCAUGUGUUUCUAAAUUGGCAUGACUGACUAUAUGAGAAGUUAUGUCCUUCCAAGAAAAGGACUUACAGUCAACAAGAUUCCUUGUUUGCUAACCCGUUGGCUGCUACCCAUGAAUCUCCCUAUUUUUCAACAACAAAAAAAGAGAUGUUGCCUGUAAGACCAAAUGUGGGGUAUCUGGUUAUCCUUCCAAAAUAAGGCAAUGACCACAUGUUCAACGCGGAUCAUUCGGUUUGUCAUCGAACUUGACUCAU